UGGGAAUUUUGGACAAUGGGCGAAAGCCUGAUCCAGCAAUGCCGCGUGUGUGAAGAAGGCCUUCGGGUUGUAAAGCACUUUUGUCCGGAAAGAAAUCCUUGGCUCUAAUACAGUCGGGGGAUGACGGUACCGGAAGAAUAAGCACCGGCUAACUACGUGCCAGCAGCCGCGGUAAUACGUAGGGUGCAAGCGUUAAUCGGAAUUACUGGGCGUAAAGCGUGCGCAGGCGGUUUGCUAAGACCGAUGUGAAAUCCCCGGGCUCAACCUGGGAACCGCAUUGGUGACUGGCAGGCUAGAGUAUGGCAGAGGGGGGUAGAAUUCCACGUGUAGCAGUGAAAUGCGUAGAGAUGUGGAGGAAUACCGAUGGCGAAGGCAGCCCCUGGGCCAAUACUGACGCUCAUGCACGAAAGCGUGGGGAGCAAACAGGAUUAGAUACCCUGGUAGUCCACGCCCUAAACGAUGUCAAC
rnacentral:rRNA from 1 species